AAAUCCCUUCAUCCCCACUUCUACACAGAUCCCCCCUUCCAUUUGUUUCUGUAAGACACUCCCCUCACACCCAAGCAAUACCCCAUCUCACCUUGCCUCUCUUCACUCUAUCUUCUGUUUUGCCUUAAAACACACACACACACACACGGUCUAUUCAGACUAGUAGGAUGCCAACUAUUUAGAUUACCUCACACACUUUAGAGCCUUUUCUGGUCCUAUAGGAUGUCAGAGGUAGCCUCUUUUAGCUUCAUAUCCAGACCACGUAUCAUCUAGAGCAGAUGGCUCAGAGACUUCGCCUCCCCCUCUCCAUGGCCCAAAUAACCUAGAAAGGAAAGGUUUUGUCCACUUCCAAUUCACCCAGCAAGAUUAUCAAUCAGUAAUCUGAAAUGAAAUAGCGUGAAAUACUGCCCUCUGCUGAUUGUAGGUAGGCGUCACUGUCCAAUUCCACCCCCUUUGUGCUGUUGAUAUCUGCCUAUUGGUCAAUCCACUGGUCACUCGGCUAUGGAGUCAAGGAUACAGAGGGUUAGAUUUGGAGUCACCUACCUGUCAACAUGGAGUAGCCUACCGCAAGACUGAACAGUGGUCAGUGGAGAACUGAGGACGUUGACGUUGUGUAGCUAGUCGUUUAUAUGACCCUGCAAAACCACAGCGAAGAGAGAAUAUCAAAAAACUCCUAUGGGAAACCCUGUUCAUUAAGUGCGGAGAUGACCACCGUCGAGAAAGACUGCUACCCACGGUCAUGGUCGGUGGUUUGAAGAGAACGUGGUCAUUCUUUUAAUCAGGGUAAGUCGUGAACGAAGGAACAAAGGUUGGAGGAAGAUGGGAGAGAAACAAACAAGCCUCCGUGAUGACAUAGAUCGUGCUCUAUGAACUUUGACCUCAUCUUGAGUACUCUGCAACAUGUCGUCCUCAUGUCGCUGUACUUUGUUUUUGCUCUCGCACUGUCAUCAUAUUUAUACUUGUCCCCUUUCCCCCUUUCUAAGUGGCUAUGACCCCCUUCUAGCUCCAGCCACUGUUAGUGCCAAAAACAACAAGGCUAGUUUGGUUUUAGAUAUUGAUACAUUGUUAAACUGUGAGGAUCAUUCUUAGCAGAAAGGUCGUCUGACAGAAAAGCAGGGGCUCUUUCUCAAUUGUCUUUCCUUGACUCCUACCAUCCCCUUUGCUCGUCUCCUUGGACCGAGGAGAGACAAAGAAUCGAGGAAAGACAAUUGAAAAAGAGCCCCUGCUCUUCUGUCAGACGACCUUUCCGCUAAGAACAAGAAACGAAAAAUAGCCAGGGAUAGAUUAUGAGCAGUGACUUCAUCAUUGUCAGACAGCCACACCCCUUGACCCCAGUGUGGAUCACUGUAAAUAGUGUAAAAGCUCUGACGUGUGUUGUUAAUUAUGAGUAUAGUGUUUUUGUGACUUACUAAAAAGCUUAUAGUGGAGAAAAUGUUCCUUCUCUCAAAGGGUCGGCUCAAAACUGCUUUUGGAUUGCUUAGGCUCCUAUCACUAUGUAACUAUCACUGUAUCCUUGACGAGUACUGCACCUGCACUGUCCGCCACUGUGCAACAAGUGAUUUAAUGAAUUUACCAGUUCAUUAAAUGAACAUAUGUUAUUUUUCCACCUAGAAAACAAAAUGUUGUUUCUUAUGUUUAUAGACAAAAGUUAUACAUAUUUAUAUAAUAGAGAUAUCAUUUAAAUGAUCGCAAAAAAAUAUUAUGUUGUUUUGCCAAAUUUAGAUAUGUUUACAUGUGCCAUAUAAAAAAAUAUUUUUUAAAUGAAAUAGAUCUAUGAAAGUCUAAUAUUGAUUAAAUUACAGAGCACAAAUUGUGCAUUAGGUUGAAGGGUUAGCGUGCAAUUGACUAGUAAUAACUAUAAAGUGAUGGAAUGGAAAAGGGUUACACAGCUAUUAACCUCACCCCAUCCGUAACACUGAACUCUAUGCAGUAUAAUCCAAAUAUGUGAUUUCGUAUCCACAAAAUUGGCACAGAUUUGAGCCAAUAUGUAUGUCCCUGACAAUGAAUGGAUUAUUAGCUAAUUAGAACAAAGACGUAUAAAGUGCAUUUUGAAAGAAAUAGCUUAAAUUUGGUCUCACAUAUUCAUGUUAUAAAUUUUUUUACUCAUCUAUUUUGUAUGUAGAUUUCGUAUGUCUAAGGAAUUUAUUAAUAUCUCACACUGACCAAGGACAACUAUCAUCAUGUAUUUAUUUUGUGUUUUGAAAGUCAGUUGCACUUGUAGCUGAACUAUGAAUAUAAAUAUAUACAUAUAUACAAUAGAGGAAUCAAAACAACCAAUGAAACUAGUUUAUAGAGCUGUUGAAACCAGUAUUUAUGUUUAAAGUGUUGUUUGAAACUCAGACUCAUAUGUUGUGAAUUCUGCUAGUAUUAUUAGAUUUAUUUGUACUGUAAAUUAACAUGUCUAAAGGAACAUACAAAGAAUAUCAGAAAAGGGGUAGGCAUAUAUAGAAAUACAUAUCAAUGCUGGUGGUUUGUCUCCUCCAUGACUUGACCUGGCUUUACCUAUUAACUAUUGGCCUGAGAGUCUUUCUGGACAGGAGUCAUUUUCAGCUUUGGAAGAGAACUCUCCUGAAUAUAUUAUACAGUAUCUUGAGGCAAUACUUAUACCAUUAGGGUGCAAUUUGUUUGGGGGUCCGGGGCAGUUCCCCCCUGUGCUUUUUUCCUCUUUUCACAAAUGGCACUCUUGAUUAUUCCAUCCUCUUAAAUCCACAUUUAUUCUAGAGAAACUCUGAGCCCAGACUACAAGUUUGAAAGUUUUAUCGAGUUGAAUUGACAACAAUAGUGCAAUAAAGUGUUAACUGUAAUUCACUGGUAGUUCUCUGCCAGUUACAUCAGAUCUCUUACUAGAGCAAACUCUAGCUACUGGCCUAGCCACUGCUAGUUUAUACAUAUGGCCAAUAUAUGACUACAACCAUAUGACGCUCUACUAUUACAAAAUUUGAUUAAUAGACACUCAUAUCAACUUUCAAAAUACGUGGCUAUUUUGGGAUUUUACUAUAACAUUGCCUGCAUUGACUGAGCCUUUAAUCUAUUUAUAAAGGAAAGAUCUCAGAUGUUGGUGAAAAAAAGGAUUUAUGGGAAAUGAGUUUGUUUGAAUUUCCAAUGUGUUUUAUAGUUACUGUUUGCAUGGUCUUAUGUGGAAAUAUUUGUUUCAGUGGUAUAUGGUGUGAUGACUUAUAUGUACAAGGCAAGUGGUUUGGAAGGGGAGUGUCCUCCAUCUACACUAGGGCUCACUUUGGGGGUCUGUGAUUAAGCUACAUGACGUUGCUUUGGUCACAGACGAGAACCUGAGAAUGAUUGCCUCAUGGUUACAUAGUUAGACAUUGAAAACAAGUAUUUUGCAAAAAAAAAGUAUGAGUUCACAAUAUUGUUGUCAAUCUUGCUAAAUUAAUGUUGCGUAACGUAAUAUGAGCUUAUGAGUUGAAUGGAUGGGCCUGAGAGAUGUUCCUUUUGCUUUGUAUAUAACACUGCAGUCAAAAACUCUGUAGCCUACGGCGAUGUUUGUUGUCCUUUGUUGUACAUUGUUUUAUCACUGUGGACAAAGUCUUAGCGUUUUGUAAGAUUAUGUGCAAUAUUGUUUCUCACUUGCCGAAUCAUUUUUCAUUUGGUUGUAUAACAUUGAUGUUUUUCAUUGGAACACAUUAACAACUGACAAUUUGGCGGUGUGCUCAUCAGAAUGUUUAGAGCCAGGUCUUAUGGACCAUAAAGUUAUUUUGUGUUCAUCUCCUCUGUGGUGGCUAAGACAGAAAAGCACUUUAUCCAGAGCUAAUACUCGUUGUGAUUGAAGGUUUGAGGACAUAAUCAGUGUUUAAUAAAAACAAACUUGCCCAGUUUAA